rnacentral:rRNA from 1 species
UUAAGCGACUAAGCGUACACGGUGGAUGCCCUGGCAGUCAGAGGCGAUGAAGGACGUGCUAAUCUGCGAUAAGCGUCGGUAAGGUGAUAUGAACCGUUAUAACCGGCGAUUUCCGAAUGGGGAAACCCAGUGUGUUUCGACACACUAUCAUUAACUGAAUCCAUAGGUUAAUGAGGCGAACCGGGGGAACUGAAACAUCUAAGUACCCCGAGGAAAAGAAAUCAACCGAGAUUCCCCCAGUAGCGGCGAGCGAACGGGGAGCAGCCCAGAGCCUGAAUCAGUGUGUGUGUUAGUGGAAGCGUCUGGAAAGGCGCGCGAUACAGGGUGACAGCCCCGUACACAAAAAUGCACAUGCUGUGAGCUCGAUGAGUAGGGCGGGACACGUGGUAUCCUGUCUGAAUAUGGGGGGACCAUCCUCCAAGGCUAAAUACUCCUGACUGACCGAUAGUGAACCAGUACCGUGAGGGAAAGGCGAAAAGAACCCCGGCGAGGGGAGUGAAAAAGAACCUGAAACCGUGUACGUACAAGCAGUGGGAGCACGCUUAGGCGUGUGACUGCGUACCUUUUGUAUAAUGGGUCAGCGACUUAUAUUCUGUAGCAAGGUUAACCGAAUAGGGGAGCCGAAGGGAAACCGAGUCUUAACUGGGCGUUAAGUUGCAGGGUAUAGACCCGAAACCCGGUGAUCUAGCCAUGGGCAGGUUGAAGGUUGGGUAACACUAACUGGAGGACCGAACCGACUAAUGUUGAAAAAUUAGCGGAUGACUUGUGGCUGGGGGUGAAAGGCCAAUCAAACCGGGAGAUAGCUGGUUCUCCCCGAAAGCUAUUUAGGUAGCGCCUCGUGAAUUCAUCUCCGGGGGUAGAGCACUGUUUCGGCAAGGGGGUCAUCCCGACUUACCAACCCGAUGCAAACUGCGAAUACCGGAGAAUGUUAUCACGGGAGACACACGGCGGGUGCUAACGUCCGUCGUGAAGAGGGAAACAACCCAGACCGCCAGCUAAGGUCCCAAAGUCAUGGUUAAGUGGGAAACGAUGUGGGAAGGCCCAGACAGCCAGGAUGUUGGCUUAGAAGCAGCCAUCAUUUAAAGAAAGCGUAAUAGCUCACUGGUCGAGUCGGCCUGCGCGGAAGAUGUAACGGGGCUAAACCAUGCACCGAAGCUGCGGCAGCGACGCUUAUGCGUUGUUGGGUAGGGGAGCGUUCUGUAAGCCUGCGAAGGUGUGCUGUGAGGCAUGCUGGAGGUAUCAGAAGUGCGAAUGCUGACAUAAGUAACGAUAAAGCGGGUGAAAAGCCCGCUCGCCGGAAGACCAAGGGUUCCUGUCCAACGUUAAUCGGGGCAGGGUGAGUCGACCCCUAAGGCGAGGCCGAAAGGCGUAGUCGAUGGGAAACAGGUUAAUAUUCCUGUACUUGGUGUUACUGCGAAGGGGGGACGGAGAAGGCUAUGUUGGCCGGGCGACGGUUGUCCCGGUUUAAGCGUGUAGGCUGGUUUUCCAGGCAAAUCCGGAAAAUCAAGGCUGAGGCGUGAUGACGAGGCACUACGGUGCUGAAGCAACAAAUGCCCUGCUUCCAGGAAAAGCCUCUAAGCAUCAGGUAACAUCAAAUCGUACCCCAAACCGACACAGGUGGUCAGGUAGAGAAUACCAAGGCGCUUGAGAGAACUCGGGUGAAGGAACUAGGCAAAAUGGUGCCGUAACUUCGGGAGAAGGCACGCUGAUAUGUAGGUGAAGUCCCUCGCGGAUGGAGCUGAAAUCAGUCGAAGAUACCAGCUGGCUGCAACUGUUUAUUAAAAACACAGCACUGUGCAAACACGAAAGUGGACGUAUACGGUGUGACGCCUGCCCGGUGCCGGAAGGUUAAUUGAUGGGGUCAGCGCAAGCGAAGCUCUUGAUCGAAGCCCCGGUAAACGGCGGCCGUAACUAUAACGGUCCUAAGGUAGCGAAAUUCCUUGUCGGGUAAGUUCCGACCUGCACGAAUGGCGUAAUGAUGGCCAGGCUGUCUCCACCCGAGACUCAGUGAAAUUGAACUCGCUGUGAAGAUGCAGUGUACCCGCGGCAAGACGGAAAGACCCCGUGAACCUUUACUAUAGCUUGACACUGAACAUUGAGCCUUGAUGUGUAGGAUAGGUGGGAGGCUUUGAAGUGUGGACGCCAGUCUGCAUGGAGCCGACCUUGAAAUACCACCCUUUAAUGUUUGAUGUUCUAACGU